rnacentral:Y_RNA from 1 species
AGUUGGUCUGAGGGCAGUGGUGUUUACAACUGAUUGCUCACAACCAGUUACACAUUUCUGCAACCCUUCUCCACACCUAAGUGAUCCUGCUUCACUUGACUCGCCUUUA